rnacentral:misc_RNA from 1 species
AGAAGUUCAUAUCAGCUAUUGAGAAAUCAACAGUUUCUACCAAUGGAAAUGCGCAAAGUAUGGACCAAAUAGAAAAACCUUGAAAAGUCAAGAUAGCACAGAUUGUAGAUGCAAGCCAUGCACAUAGCAGACGGAGAAAUCUAGAUCAAGUACAGAAAAGAGAGUGAAAAGCAUACCAGCAAAACACUGAUCGAAGAGAUAUAUAACGAGAACUAGCAUGGACAUGAAUGAAAAGUUUAGCUAGAACAUGGAUCCAGAACCACCAAAGAAAGCAAGAAACAACAUUGCUCUGUCAUAUUAUAUUAGCUGGCUAAGAGUGUUUUGCAUCUUUUGUUUCCUUGUACUAAUUAGCAUGAUCUUGUAUUAAGCGUGAUCACUGCUUUAACAAAUGAAGGAUGCUACUGGUGGCAAUUUCUUGUUGAUAUUUUGAUCUUGUAUUAAGUGUUUUGCAUUUUCA